rnacentral:tRNA from 1 species
UCCCUGGUGGCUCAGAUGGUACAGAAUCAGCCUGCAAUGCAGGAGGACCCAGGUUCAAUCCCCGGUUUGGGAA